UACGUAGGGGGCAAGCGUUGUCCGGAUUUAUUGGGCGUAAAGAGCGUGUAGGCGGCUUGACAAGUCUGCUGUGAAAACUCGAGGCUCAACCUCGAGCUGUCGGUGGAAACUGUCUAGCUAGAGUCCGGAAGAGGAGAGUGGAAUUCCUGGUGUAGCGGUGAAAUGCGCAGAUAUCAGGAAGAACACCUAUGGCGAAGGCAGCUCUCUGGGACGGUACUGACGCUGAGACGCGAAAGCGUGGGGAGCGAACAGG
rnacentral:rRNA from 1 species